rnacentral:rRNA from 1 species
CACGUAGGGCGCGAGCGUUGUCCGGAAUUAUUGGGCGUAAAGAGCUCGUAGGCGGCCUGUUGCGUCCGCUGUGAAAGCCCGGGGCUUAACCCCGGGUCGGCAGUGGAUACGGGCAGGCUAGAGGUAGGUAGGGGAGAAUGGAAUUCCCGGUGUAGCGGUGAAAUGCGCAGAUAUCGGGAGGAACACCGGUGGCGAAGGCGGCCUGCUGGGCAGUAGCUGACGCUGAGGCGCGACAGCGUGGGGAGCAAACAGG